UACGGAAGGCAGCAGUGGGGAAUAUUGGACAAUGGGCGAAAGCCUGAUCCAGCCAUGCCGCAUGAGUGAAGAAGGCCUUCGGGUUUGUAAAGCUCUUUUAGUGAGAAAGAUAAUGACGGUACUCACAGAAGAAGUCCUGGCUAACUCCGUGCCAGCAGCCGCGGUAAUACGGAGAGGGCUAGCGUUAUUCGGAAUUAUUGGGCGUAAAGAGCGCGUAGGCUGAUUAGUAAGUUAAAAGUGAAAUCCCAAAGCUUAACUUUGGAAUUGCUUUUUAAAACUGCUAGUCUAGAGAUUGAAAGAGGAUAGAGGAAUUCCUAGUGUAGAGGUGAAAUUCGUAAAUAUUAGGAGGAACACCAGUGGCGAAGGCGUCUAUCUGGUUCAAAUCUGACGCUGAGGCGCGAAAGGGCUGGGGAGCAAACAGGGAUUUAGAUACC
rnacentral:rRNA from 1 species